rnacentral:lncRNA from 12 species
UUGGGACUUGUUAUUCUUAGCAAAACAAUUCCAGAUAGCAAAGCAUUUUACUGCUUAAAGCCGACUCAGUUCUUAAAGGAGAAGCUCACAUUAUUUUAUUCUACACUUUUUUCCCAGGAAGGUGAUCUUGUAUAGUUUUAUUUUUCUUAAUAAUAGGUGGAGCUAUGCAAAGAAAACCCCAAAUACAUAGACCCGAUUUCCUAGAAAUCUCAACCCUUCACAUGAUAAAGCCUACUCACAGGACAUCGGAAUUGGAACAAGGGAGGUUUCAAGCUUCUCCCAGAGAUGGGGACAGAUUGCCACAAAUAGAGAUACAGCAGACAAAGGGCGGAGACUGUUCCAGGCAGAGCCCCUCUCCUGGAGGGAUCAUCACCAGAGCUUCUGGCCAGAUCUGCAGAUGGAGAAGCUUUCCUCUAGGUGUAUAAUAGACCAACUUUCGUCUCACUAAAGGGAAAGUAUCCCACAAUGAUGAUCAGAAUGGGAGAAGGCUCCUUAGCCGUGGAAAGAAUGGAGGAAACGUGGGAGGAAGAAGUGGCAGCUAAUCACACGAUGUCAGGCUUGCUUCAUGGCCCGGCAUAUUGUCAAUUUUAGUAAGUUUUUUUUUUUUUUUUCCUGUAUGCCUUGGAAAAGUAGAUAUUUUGCAGUUUCUAAAUGCAUGUUUUGUAUGUUUUAUUAUUUCUAAAAUUAAAUAAGUACCUGUUAUUUCCAAAUUAUCAUAGUAGGUGCUGCCGGGAAAGAGCUUUAUUUUUUUUUUCAUUUAUUUUUUAUUUUUUAAUAUAUUUUUUAAUUUUUUUUAUUUAUUUAUGAUAGUCACAGAAUGAGAGAGAGAGAGAGAGAGAGGCAGAGACAGAAGCAGGUUCCAUGCACCGGGAGCCCGAUGUGGGAUUCG